AUGAAGCCUUUCGGGGUGUAAACCUACUGUUGCCCGGGACGAAACUUCUCCUUUCGAGGAGAUUGACGGUACCGGGUGAGGAAGCACCGGCUAACUCUGUGC
rnacentral:rRNA from 1 species